rnacentral:lncRNA from 1 species
GGGGCUCCAUGUGAGGUCAGUGUUUGGGUCUCUUCGCCAGGCUCAGGGAGGCUGCUCUUCCAGGAAGGGCUGCAGAGACCCUGGGAACCGGACCAGCCCAGCUCACAAGUAUGAAGAGAAUGUCGGGAGAGGAAGUGGCGGCUGUGAGUCAGCAUGAGUCAUCUCGUUCCAAUGAGAAUGAAGACUGAGGUGUGCGCCUUUUUUUUUUCUUCUUCUUCUUCUUUUUUUUUUUUUUUGGUCUCAAUCGUGGGGACAUCAUUGGGAAUGGAGGGAAAUCAGUGACUGUAUGGUCGUUGCUUUUUAAGUUUCCAACUGGCGUUCCAGGCAAGCCGUGCCUGAGCCGGUGUCUGCCGUGAGAUCUUCAGAGCACGGUUCCUGGGAAGGUAGAACCAUUAGCUUCUCCCUGGCUCAGCGCCCCGGUUAGAGAGGACCCAACGACCAUCUCAUACAACGCCUCUAUACCUCUUGUUUCAACUCUGUGAUGUCCCCUCCAGUGACCAGACACCAGAUCACCUGCUCAUGGCUGAAAAAUUCUGGUUUUCAUUGAACCUGCCUGUUUACUGGAAACUUCCCAGCUUCGGAUCCACCUUCUGUCCCUUGGUACAGAACAGUUAGUCCAUCUGUUCUCAUGUCCCUCCAGGACAUUCCCAGGGCCGAAGCUCCUUUGACUGCUGCACACCUAACUAACCAAGCUCCUGCUGUCUGGGCACUCUUUCCUGAAUAUUCUCAGCUGUUUCAAUCCUUCUAAAACUGUGGGUCCUAGAAAGAAACAAGAAGCUUCUGGUGAGGUCUGACCAGCCCAGAGCAGAACGGGGCCACGACCUCCCACCUUACAGGACCCUAUUAAGGCACCUUGGAGCCCUUUGCAUGGCUGGUGGCCAUGUUACACUUUUGUUAGUAUUGCAAUUCCUAAUAAUGCAAUCCUGUAAGACUUUUUUCCCCCUCUUUAAUUUCUGCUACCAAAGACAGGUCUCCCAUACUUUAUAGAGUUAGGCUUUUUUUCACCCAAAAAUACAUAACCUAAUACUACCUUUAUUAAGCUGUCUUUGGAAUAUUUAAACCUUUAUCCUAUCCCACCGAAAUCUUCUGGUGUUCUAUUCGUGAGUCUGUGACCGCACUAUCCCUCCAGGGCGGGGGUCACUGGAGCUGACAAACACACUGACUCUGUUGUGCUCGAGUCACUGGAAAGUGGUGGACAGCCCAGGGCUGAGGACGGAGGCCUGGAGAAUGACGGAGGGAGCCAGCCCUCCAGGCGACACCAGCCAGAAUUCUUGGGUCAGUCAACAAACUGUGAAAUUACUAAACUUGUUAUUGAGCAUAUUUCUCCAUGUUGGCCUCUCGGAUUUCCUUGCCUGGUGCCCUGCUGAAGUCUAGACAGGCUGCUCACUAUAUUUCCUUGAUUGACCCAUCUCAGGACCUUCCCACAAGAAAAUGAGAUUAAAUGGAUGUGACCCGGUCUUACUAACCCGGCUGGCUCUUGGAACUCACCUCUUCCUUUCCUGAGGUCUUCUAAGGUAUUAUUUUUGGCAUUUUAGAAUCUCAUCUAGGGUAAACACAGGGUUCAGGGUUUAUGGAGUCACCUUCUUGUCCUUUGUGGCCACCAGAGUUGCCCAGGUCUUAUAAAUGCUGGAGCAGCUCACUCCGGUGGCUCUAACCGCUCAUCUGCUGGCUGCUGGGCUGCAGCUCACUGAGGCAGGAGGCAGGGCCUCUCACCAUCUCCACCCUCAUCCCAGGCCUUGGUUGCUCCCAUGCUGUCUAUGGUCCUUAUGAUGGUUAAUUUUAUGUGUCACCUUGGCUAGGCCACAGUACCCAGAUAUUUGGUGAAAUGUUAUUCUGGAUGUUCUGUAAAGGUGUUAUUUAGAUAAUAUUAACAUUUAAAUCUGUACACGUUGAGUAAAGCAGAUUACCCUUCAAAAAUCUCAGUGGGCCUCGCCUAAUCAGUCGAAGGCCUUAAUAGAAAAAGAUUGAGGUCCCUCAAAGGAGAGGGAAUUCUGUUAGCAGGCUGUCUUCCGACUCAACUGCAGCUCUUCCCUGAGUCUCCAGCCUGCUGGAGAUUUUGAACUUGCUUCACCCCCGUAGAUUGGGCUUGCUAAGCCUCCACAAUCACAUGAGCCACUUCCUUAAAAUCAAUCUCUCUUUCUUUCUUUUUUUUUUCUGUCUCUGUCGACAUAUUCUAUUGCUUCUCUUUCUCUGGAGAACUCUGAUUACUGCAGUGUUCUGCCAGUGUUAACAUUAUUUUGACAGAAAAGAUAAAGUAGAGGUAGAGAACUUCUGCUUUCUCUCAUGACGCGAGCUCUUCUAUUUCUCUCUAGCCUGUCUAGAUUUGCGCCUUGCUGAGUGCUCCCCCCAGGGCUCUGUUCUGGUUAAAAACAUGAAUUGAGCACCUACUAUGUACUAGGCACUGGCUCCCUUAUGCACCGUCUUCCAUAUUUCAUUCUUUCCAUCAGCGCUCUCCCAUGUGGCUAUGACAAUCUCCAGAAGUAGCCUCCUCUUCUUUCUUGCAAGGAUCACAUUCUCCCAUGGGGAGGAUUAACAUCGAGAGCCUCCCGGCUCUCCUGAGCUGCCCUGCCCCGAGGGGCUCAGCCUUCCUGGAGCCUGCUUUCCCGAAGCUGCAGGAACUCCCCUGACUCCCCACAGCCUCCUGCUCCUUCCAUCUGCAGGCAGCAAGCAGCGCGGUUCCAAGCACAGGGCCGGGCUCAGAGAGCCCUUGGUCUUAGUCUCAAAUCUGCCCCUUGGUUGUGGUUUGAUCUUGGGCAAAGUUUUUAACCUUCCUGGGCCUCAGUGUCUCAUUCCGGAAGGGGAUUCUGAUGGUGCUCACCUCACAGGUCGUUGUGUGGGUUAAACGAGAAGAGGCAGCCGGACACUUAGCAGGACGCCAGGCUUAGGAGAGUGGGUCCCACCCAGUCUCAUCAGAUGUGUCCUCCUUAGGCAUUCUGGGCUGCUCUUGCCCUUUCUCCACUCCACCAUUCUGUGGCGGGCCUGAGUGCUGCUCACAAGUGUUCUCUCUCCUCUCUUGCAUACACGUGGUAGAAUUGUGAUGCCCAGCCUUUUUGAAGUUACACCUGGCCAUGAGACUAGCUCAGGCAAAAGAAAUGAGUGUUGGACAUCCCAUGUGAGUGAGAAAUAAAUUUUUGUGGACAUAAGCUACUGAGGUAUGGGAGGUGGUAUUUGUUACUGCAGCAUAGCCUAGCCAGUCCUGACUGAUACACCCCCUCAUCUUCAAUAUCUAAAAUCAUG